AAAAAUUGCACCUGACAUUCACUCUUUGCUCUAUCUUUCAGGGAUCUACACAAUAACAGUAUAAGCACAAUAGAGGACAAUACAUUCGUUAAUUUGACGAAAAUAUACGAAAUAUAUCUGCAGGAAAACAGAAUAACCACAACAAAGAACGGCACCUUCAAUGGCCUGACGGCAUUACGAACUUUGAUCUUAAACAAUAAUCCUUUCCACUGCGAUUGCGAGUUGAUAGGCCUGGUCGAUUUCCUAAAAUCUGGACGUGUCCGCUCAUCUGGAAAUCCACGUUGCUCAACCCCUGAGAACUUGAAAGGAAGUCUGUUGGCCAGUCUAUCAGCUGCAAACUUGACUUGUCCCGAUAUGACUACCGAAACAGAGAGCGACACAAUAAAGACUACAGAGGCGUUCAUAAGUACAACUGUGGAAUCCAGUUCUUCACCUUUGAACGUAGGAAAUUUUCUGGCUAUGGUGCUUUUGUCUUUAUGUUUGCUUGUUAAAAUCAUGAUUGAGUAAUUGAAUUUAAAAAAAGCGAAAUAAAUAGAGAUUUUGUUUACAAAAAAGAUUGGGACAAAUCGCUUACAUGACGGAAACGUAGAACAGAGAAUUUGGAAAACUAAUUUUACACUGGACAUAUCAGUGAAUUUCCCGAAAAUACAGAUAUUUCUCGGGAAAUACUGGAAAAUAAGAGAGAUUUAGAAAUAACUUUAACUUCAAACCUUAGAUCUGAAGAACAUUAUAGGAUAAGAUAACAACCUGUAUAACCGUCUUGUAUUUAAAAACUCUGAUCAAUCCUAGAAUUAAAAAGCAUAACAUUAUUUACUAACAUUCCAUAAUUAUUUUUUACGUUUAUAUCAGAUUUAUUCUAUAAAGGUCCAUAAAUUAAACUUGAAGAUCACAUUUUGACUAUUCUUAUAUAACUUGAGAAGGAUUACAGAGAAGAAUUAAUUGUCGAACAUCUUAUAAAUAUCAAAUCUAAGAAGAAGAAAAUUUUCACGCCUAUUCAGGGUAAUUAUCUUUAUGAAUAGAUAAGAAUGACUUAUUGUAAUAACAAGUGUUUAUAGAUGGAUAAAACCAAUUCAUUAUGUAUUUGAAUUUAUAAUAAUGUAAUGUAUUAAUCUUAUAUAACUGG